UCCACCCCAACCGAAACUUGUACAACCUAGUCUCAAACCCAGAGAGUUCGUCUGAGAACCCCGACAGUGUGCCACCGUAUGUGCUUCAUCUGUACGCCACGUCUCUCAUGUGCUCCCUUCCUCAGACAGUAGUGGCGGAGCAGAGUAACGUCGGGAAAGGAAGAAGUAAGCAGCGCCCGAAGCUGUUUGUUUGCAACGGCACCUGAGCAUCGACAGAGAAGCCAAGGAGCUCAUCUCGCUGAUUUGGUCAUUUCCUCUGUUGCAACCCAACGGCUGACAGCCAUGACGAUGUAGAUUCAAAGCACUAAACUAAAUCAAAGGAAGAUGCGAAAGUCUGAAUUAAGACCUGUCCUGGGCCCAGCAUGUAAGAGAAAUUACAAAGAAAGUAGAAAUCUCCUACUUCCUUAGGAGAUUGCGAAGAUUCACCAUGACAUCUAAAACUUCUAUAGAUGUGUGAUGGAGAGUAUAUUGACAGGCUGCAUCAGAGCUUGGUAUGGAAACAACAAUGUCCUUGCAUGGAAAAUUCUACAAAAUGUACUGGAUACAGCCCAGUCCACCAUGGGUGUAACACUCCCACCAUUUUGCACAUCUACAUGGAGCGUUGUUGCAAGAAAGUAGCAACCAUCACCGGGGAUCCCCACCAGCCAGGUCAUGUACUUUUCUUAGUGCUACCAUUCGGAAGAAGGUACAGGUGCCUGAGGUCUCACACUACCAGUUUCAGGUACAGUUAUAACUACUCAACCAUCAGGCUCUUGAACAGAGUGAAUAACUUCCACUCAACAUCACUUGCCCCAUCACUGAACUGUUUACACAACUUCUGGACUCACUUUCAAGAACUCUUCAUCACAUGAUCUUGAAAUUUAUUGAUUGAUUGGUUUGCUUGUUUAUGUAUUCUCUCUUUUUUCUUUUUGUAUUUGCACAGUUCGUUGUCCUUUGCACAUUGAUUGUCCACCCUGAUGGUGCAGUCUUUCACUGAUUUAAUUAUUGUAAAUUGGAUUUAUUGAGUAUGCCCACAAGAAAAUGAAUCUCAGCAUUGUAUAUGUUGAUGUUUAAGUACCUUGAUAAUAAAUUUGCUUUGAACUUUA